rnacentral:rRNA from 1 species
UCGAUGGUAGGAUAGAGGCCUACCAUGGUGGUAACGGGUAACGGGGUGUUAGGGCACGACACCGGAGAGGGAGCCUGAGAAACGGCUACCACAUCCAAGGAUGGCAGCAGGCGCGCAAAUUACCCAAUCCCGACACGGGGAGGUAGUGACAAUAAAUAACAAUACGGGGUUCUUUCGGAUUUCGUAAUUGGAAUGAGUACAAUUUAAAUCUCUUAACGAGGAACAAUUGGAGGGCAAGUCUGGUGCCAGCAGCCGCGGUAAUUCCAGCUCCAAUAGCGUAUAUUAAAGUUGUUGCAGUUAAAAAGCUCGUAGUUGAAUUUCGGGAUCAAUAUUUCGGUCAUGCCGUUGGUAUGCACUGUUAUCAUUGAUUUCUCACCUUCUAAAGAACCGUAAUGCCAUUAAUUUGGUGUUACGGGGAAUUAGGACUGUUACCUUGAAAAAAUUAGAGUGUUUAAAGCAGGCUCACGCUUGAAUACAUUAUCAUGGAAUAAUGAAAUAGGACGUUCGAUCUUAUUUUGUUGGUUUCUAGGAUUGACGUAAUGAUUAAUAGGGAUAGUUGGGGGCAUUAGUAUUCAAUUGUCAGAGGUGAAAUUCUUGGAUUUAUUGAAGACUAACUACUGCGAAAGCAUUUGCCAAGGAUGUUUUCAUUAAUCAAGAACGAAAGUUAGGGGAUCGAAGACGAUCAGAUACCGUCGUAGUCUUAACCAUAAACUAUGCCGACUAGGGAUCGGAUGAUGUUUAUUUUUUAAUGACUCAUUCGGCGCCUUACGGGAAACCAAAGUGUUUGGGUUC